rnacentral:rRNA from 1 species
CUCUUUCUUGAUUCGGUGGGUGGUGGUGCAUGGCCGUUCUUAGUUGGUGGAGCGAUUUGUCUGGUUAAUUCCGAUAACGAACGAGACUCUAGCCUGCUAAAUAGGUGGCGGGUUUUAUCAUUGAAUUUUGGGUUCGGAGUUCGCCGGGAUCAGAGUUGGCGUUGCUCUCUGUCUCGUCGAGGCGUGUUGGGGAGUGAGGUGUCGUUGCCCUGGGUUUCGGCUCCGGGUGGCGGUGUUUUGGUUCCCUUCGCGGUUAGGCCGGGCGGAGUGUGGCGUUGGCUCCCCGGCGGUCGGCUUCGUUCUCGCGUCCGUCACAACUCUUCUUAGAGGGACAAGCGGCGUCCAGCCGCGUGACAGUGAGCAAUAACAGGUCUGUGAUGCCCUUAGAUGUCCUGGGCCGCACGCGCGCUACACUGAAGGAAUCAGCGUGUUUUUCUCCCCCUGUCCGAAAGGACCGGGUA